GGGAAAAAAACGGAAACAGUUUUACUUUCCAUGGAUCCUCUGCAUUGACCAGACCGGUCUCCCUUAAGACCUCCCAGCUGCUCGCGCAGUGUUUUUGAAUGCAGCAUUACAAGAGGCACGCGGGGCUGAAGGUAACAUGGCGGAUGGACAGAGCUCCGUCACGAUCGACAUCUGCUGAAUACCAGAAGCGGACGUUGGUUUGUUAAAAGAGAAACUGCAGUUUGUGAGGGUUCAACACCUGCCAGCUGAGGAGACGUUUCCUGCCUGCCCUCUACUGACAGCACAGAUGUGGGACGUAAAUGACCCUCAAGGGCCUUUGUGUUUACAUGAACGAAGAUCCAGAGAGGCUGGUGAGAGAAUACAAGAGGGAUGACAUCUCAGAAGAGGCUCUGGCAUAAGGACUCUUUGGGAUCUUUGUCAUUCAACACACUGGUGCAGACCCAAGUGAUGACCUGGCGACUGGAUGAAUGAUCUAAAAGUUGUAAGCCUUGAAGUAUCAGUGCUGUUUGGGCUCCUGUAUUCUUUUAGAUCUGAGCUACUCACCAGAGUUGAAAGGGUUGUUCAAAUCCAGUUACAAAACCUUGCUUAACUAAUGCUUCACUAUUCUCAGUACUAUUACCAUUUACACUUGAAAAUUGUUCCGUUUUAGCACUUUAAAUAUUUUGUGCAGAUAAGAAUGUACUAUUUUGCAUGUUUACAAUAUUUUUAAUUAUUGUAAAAGUUGUGACUUUUUGAAACCCAGAAUAAUCUACUAACUGUAAAAAAUGUAAAUUUUGCAUUUCUGCACAUUUUCGUAUUUCUUUUCUUAUCUUGUGGUCUAAUGAGUGUUUCGAAAGGGCUUUAGUCAGAGGAAAAUAAUAGGACUUGAUUUUAUUUUUUAAAAGUUAAUAUUAAUAUUUGGAUGUCCCUUCAGUCAUAUGACAAGAUUAUGACUUUGCUGUUGUGACCUUUGCAUUGAACUGCCUAUGUGACAGUUUUGGAAAAAUAAAUUUUGAACAUCUCA